CUGUUUCAAAUGUUUUAUUCAAACAUUCCUUUCUUUGGCUUUGUUAGUUUUUGGAUAUUUUUGUCAUUUGUCAGGUUUUAUUUUCAUUUACUAUUUUCUCUUAUUUACUUAUUUGUUUGUUUAUUUUUUCUUUGUAGGUAUCACUCAGUGUAUGUAUUUUGAAUUUUUUAUUGUUUUUGUUUUUCUUUUCUUUCAAGUGUUUAUUUGUGUUGAUUUUGGAAUGCUAGAAGAUUUCAGACGAGUGCAAUGUAUUAUCAUAACAUAAGCUUGGGCAAAUUUAGCUUAACAGAGAUACAUUUGCCUGUUUUACAGCCACCCCGACAGCGCUGCGGUGAACAUGGCCUUGACCACCAUUUGCAAUUGCAAUUCAUUAUUGUACUGCUUUCCUGAUGUUAACUUCGAUUAUUUAUUGAGAGAACAUCAU
rnacentral:lncRNA from 1 species